UUAUGGCCAUAUCACUUUGAAGCACUGGUUCCUAUACGUUCAUCGAAGUUAAGUCACGUCGAGUCUGCUAAGUACCUAGACGAGUGACUGCUUGGGAAUACCAGGUGCUGUAAG